AGAGUUUGAUCCUGGCUCAGGAUGAACGCUGGCGGCGUGCCUAAUACAUGCAAGUCGAGCGAACGGACGAGAAGCUUGCUUCUCUGAUGUUAGCGGCGGACGGGUGAGUAACACGUGGAUAACCUACCUAUAAGACUGGGAUAACUUCGGGAAACCGGAGCUAAUACCGGAUAAUAUUUUGAACCGCAUGGUUCAAAAGUGAAAGACGGUCUUGCUGUCACUUAUAGAUGGAUCCGCGCUGCAUUAGCUAGUUGGUAAGGUAACGGCUUACCAAGGCAACGAUGCAUAGCCGACCUGAGAGGGUGAUCGGCCACACUGGAACUGAGACACGGUCCAGACUCCUACGGGAGGCAGCAGUAGGGAAUCUUCCGCAAUGGGCGAAAGCCUGACGGAGCAACGCCGCGUGAGUGAUGAAGGUCUUCGGAUCGUAAAACUCUGUUAUUAGGGAAGAACAUAUGUGUAAGUAACUGUGCACAUCUUGACGGUACCUAAUCAGAAAGCCACGGCUAACUACGUGCCAGCAGCCGCGGUAAUACGUAGGUGGCAAGCGUUAUCCGGAAUUAUUGGGCGUAAAGCGCGCGUAGGCGGUUUUUUAAGUCUGAUGUGAAAGCCCACGGCUCAACCGUGGAGGGUCAUUGGAAACUGGAAAACUUGAGUGCAGAAGAGGAAAGUGGAAUUCCAUGUGUAGCGGUGAAAUGCGCAGAGAUAUGGAGGAACACCAGUGGCGAAGGCGACUUUCUGGUCUGUAACUGACGCUGAUGUGCGAAAGCGUGGGGAUCAAACAGGAUUAGAUACCCUGGUAGUCCACGCCGUAAACGAUGAGUGCUAAGUGUUAGGGGGUUUCCGCCCUUAGUGCUGCAGCUAACGCAUUAAGCACUCCGCCUGGGGAGUACGACCGCAAGGUUGAAACUCAAAGGAAUUGACGGGGACCCGCACAAGCGGUGGAGCAUGUGGUUUAAUUCGAAGCAACGCGAAGAACCUUACCAAAUCUUGACAUCCUUUGACAACUCUAGAGAUAGAGCCUUCCCCUUCGGGGGACAAAGUGACAGGUGGUGCAUGGUUGUCGUCAGCUCGUGUCGUGAGAUGUUGGGUUAAGUCCCGCAACGAGCGCAACCCUUAAGCUUAGUUGCCAUCAUUAAGUUGGGCACUCUAAGUUGACUGCCGGUGACAAACCGGAGGAAGGUGGGGAUGACGUCAAAUCAUCAUGCCCCUUAUGAUUUGGGCUACACACGUGCUACAAUGGACAAUACAAAGGGCAGCGAAACCGCGAGGUCAAGCAAAUCCCAUAAAGUUGUUCUCAGUUCGGAUUGUAGUCUGCAACUCGACUACAUGAAGCUGGAAUCGCUAGUAAUCGUAGAUCAGCAUGCUACGGUGAAUACGUUCCGGGUCUUGUACACACCGCCCGUCACACCACGAGAGUUUGUAACACCCGAAGCCGGUGGAGUAACCUUUUAGGAGCUAGCCGUCGAAGGUGGGACAAAUGAUUGGGGUGAAGUCGUAACAAGGUAGCCGUAUCGGAAGGUGCGGCUGGAUCACCU
rnacentral:rRNA from 1 species